AUUGAACGCUGGCGGCAGGCCUAACACAUGCAAGUCGAGCGGAGCGGCGGACGGGUGAGUAAUACCUAGGAAUCUGCCUGAUAGUGGGGGAUAACGUUCGGCAACGGACGCUAAUACCGCAUACUAUCAGAUGAGCCUAGGUCGGAUUCGCGAGUUGGUGAGGUAAUGGCUCACCAAGGCUACGAUCCGUAACUGGUCUGAGAGGAUGAUCAGUCACACUGGAACUGGGAAACGGUCAAAACUCCUACGGGAGGAAGCGGUGGGGAAUGUUGGACAAUGGGAGAAGGCCUGAUCCAGCCAUGCGGCGUGUGUGAAGAAGGUCUUCGGAUUGUAAAGCACUUAAAGUUGGGAGGCGUUACCGACAGAAUAAGCAACGGCUAACUCUGUGCCAGCAGCCGCGGUAAUAC
rnacentral:rRNA from 1 species